AUUGAACGCUGGCGGCGUGCUUAACACAUGCAAGUCGAUCGGUAACAGGUGUAGCAAUACAUGCUGACGAGAGGCGGACGGGUGAGUAAUGCUUGGGAAUCUGCCUAUUAGUGGGGGACAACCCGGGGAAACUCGGGCUAAUACCGCAUACGCUCUACGGAGGAAAGCCGGGGACCGCAAGGCCUGGCGCUAAUAGAUGAGCCCAAGUCGGAUUAGCUAGUUGGUAGGGUAACGCCUACCAAGGCGACAAUCCGUAGCUGGUCUGAGAGGACGACCAGCCACACCGGAACUGAGACACGGUCCGGACUCCUACGGGAGGCAGCAGUGGGGAAGUAUUGGACAAUGGGGGCAACCCUGAUCCAGCGACGCCGCGUGGGUGAAGAAGGCCU
rnacentral:rRNA from 1 species